rnacentral:rRNA from 1 species
CCCUUAGAUGUCCUGGGCUGCACGCGCGCUACACUGGAAGUUACGGAUUGAGAUACUACCUUGUCCGAAAUGGUCCGGGUAAUCACCUAAAAGCUUGUCAUAAUUGGAAUGGAUUAUUGUAACUAGUAAUCCUGAACGAGGAAUUCCUAGUAAGUCCCAGUCAACAGCUGGUACUGAUUACGUCCCUGCCCUUUGUACACACCGCCCGUCGCUACUACUGAUUGGACGUUUAAGCAAGAUUUUUAAACACUGACAGUGUGUAGUUCACACUAUACUACAGUGAGAAGAAGAAGAUCGAGCUUACUUGUCUAGAGGAAGUAAAAGUCGUAACA